rnacentral:tRNA from 1 species
AAGGGAGACCUAAUUCGGGUAUAAGACGAAAAAAUAGUAGUCGAAACCAAGAAUCAAUCCCAAAAGGUCGGAGCGAGGCAUGAGGCUUUCAAACUAGGUUCUGGGUUCAUAAAAGACCUGAAUCAGGAACAAGGGCUAUUAGCUCAGGUGGUUAGAGCGCACCCCUGAUAAGGGUGAGGUCCCUGGUUCGAGUCCAGGAUGGCCCACCUGCACAGGUGGCAAAAACAAAAGAAGCGAGGAAUCAGCACCUUAUCUUACUUAUAUAGUAAGAGAGAAUGCUGGCUCUGAGUAAAGAGUCCAGAGGAACCUUGAAAACUGCAUAGAGCUAGGUGAAAAAGCCAAAAAAGAAGACCGCAAGGUCAAGCUGAUAAGGGCUAACGGUGGAUACCUAGGCAC